rnacentral:rRNA from 1 species
ACUCCUACGGGAGGCAGCAGUGGGGAAUCUUAGACAAUGGGCGCAAGCCUGAUCUAGCCAUGCCGCGUGAGUGAUGAAGGCCUUAGGGUCGUAAAGCUCUUUCGCCAGGGAUGAUAAUGACAGUACCUGGUAAACGAAACCCCGGCUAACUCCGUGCCAGCAGCCGCGGUAAUACGGAGGGGUUAGCGUUGUUCGGAAUUACUGGGCGUAAAGCGCGCGUAGGCGGACUAGUCAGUCAGAGGUGAAAUCCCAGGGCUCAACCCUGGAACUGCCUUUGAUACUGCUAGUCUUGAGUUCGAGAGAGGUGAGUGGAAUUCCGAGUGUAGAGGUGAAAUUCGUAGAUAUUCGGAGGAACACCAGUGGCGAAGGCGGCUCACUGGCUCGAUACUGACGCUGAGGUGCGAAAGCGUGGGAGCAAACAGGAUUAGAUACCCUGGUAGCGACUGA